AGUGGUUUGGACUAAUUCCUCAGCAAAUCUGCAGGACUCCUGAUGUGAAGACAGUGCCAGAAGUCUCCAACAGAGGGCCUACAGCAAGAGAAUCCUCCCAACCAAAACUAAGUACCUACUGCCAUCUAUUGUCAUUAUUAUAAUCUGCAGUUCUGUGCUCAAAACUACAUGUACUGCUUACAAAAUGAGCACUAGAUGACGCCAUCCUACCAUUAAUCAAUCAUGAGUGUAAACGUCAUUGGUUUUCCUGAACGACCUGCUUGGAUUAACUUGGAUAUAGUCAUUGUGUGAAAAUACCUCAUGUUCUUAUGCAUUCUUACUUUUAUAACAAAAUAACUGUAAUAUGCAGUGGUUUUUUAUGAUAUUAUACUGCUUUUUAUGAUUAGCAUUGUUUAGAUCACCCUCUACAUAUAACACAAAUUCUACACACGCACUUAUUUGAAUAAUUGUAACAUUUUAAUUAUUUUUAAUAUAAUUAAAUUAGAAUAACAUAUAUAGUUUUUAAUUUCGGACACAUUUAUUUAUUUCAGACACUGUUAUUUUUAUUAUUAUUAUUUCUAGCCUACAUAAUUUAUGUAUGUCUGUAUACACUAUAUAUUUAUUUAACUGUUUAUUUUAAUAUUAUUAUGUUGUUAUAAUAUUAUUCGCUAAACUUUUUGGUGAUUGUGUCUUUGUUUUGUCUUCCUUUCAGAGUUGCUGAUUAUUUUUUGAUUCCUUUUUAUUUGCAUACAUUUAAAUGGGUUCAUGUGUAUAUACAGUACACUGUAUAUGUACAGUAUAUAUGCAAUAUAAUAGAGCACAUACACUUAAAGGUCAAACAUUCUAUUUUAGUUUUUAAAUUUUAAGUUGUGAAGAAGUUAAUAAAAGCACCUCAAAUUACAUAAGAAUAUGAGUUUGUAUACAUGACAAAUCAGAUUUUGUUGCAAGCAAAAAAAUAAAUUCACAGCAGCUACAACAGACUUGCAGACUUCCAGGAGACAUAGUUGAGGGUUCAGAUGCAGUGAUAGAUCUAUAUGUGAGGCUUAUGCUUACUAUGGGGAAGUUGUGGCCUAGUGGUUAGAGAGUUUGACUCUUAACACUAGGGUUGUGGGUUUGAAUCUCAGGCUGGCAAUAGCAUGACUGAGAUGCCCUUGAGCAAGGCACCGAACCUCCAACUGCUCCCUGGGUGCUGCAGCAUUACUGGCUGCCCACUGCUCUGGGUGUGUGUUCACUGCUGUGUGUGUGCACUUUGGAUGGGUUAAAUGCAGAGCAUGAAUUCUGAGUAUGGGUCACCAUACUUGGCUGAAUGUCACAUCACUUCCACUUUAUAAUAAAUCUAAGUAUGAGUAAAUUUGAUGCAGGCAGCUGGGCUGAAAGCCAGCGGAGGGAGACAAGGAGAGCUGCAACAAAACUCAGGGGGAAAAGAUAAUAUUCAAUAAUUCAGCUAAUUAUUGUAGAUAAAAAUUCCAAAGCCUUGACAAAAUUUACUGCGCUGAAGACUACACACAGAUUUAGUAGACUGAGAGCAGAGGGUCUAGUAUGACAUGAUCCUGAAUGCAUGCAUUUAUUGCACGAAAGGAACAUCUAUUAGAUUCAUUCAUUUAUUUAAAAAACAAAACCAGAGCUUCUUCACUUUGCUUUUACAAAUUCAGAGAAACGCUUUGGAGAAUCACCUGUUGUGCACCUAUUAAGAAUACUGAAGGGAUCAUCAGCCAGUGGUUGUGCAUGUGUGAUAUUAUCAAAAUGCAUCGUAUUUUGAAAUGUGUUAGUAGCCUAUUACACGUAGGCCUAAUAUUCAUUUACAAGUUAUAUAAAAUGUGUUGUUUUGUUGUGGCCAGGUGAAGCAACAUCAUUUGACCCUUAUAGAAAAUAAUCAAACAUUACCCAAAAUAAAGAAUAUACUGUGUACUGUAAUAAUUAUACUCAAUCAAUUUAGCAUGAAAACACAUGUUAUACAUUAUAUGCAAAUAACAAUGUGAUUCAUUAUUACAUUAUUAUUAUUACUACACUAUUAUUGUGCUGAUUGCAAUGUAUCCCACAUUUCUGUUAAAAGAACAGAAUAGGCUAUACCUACAGUAAAAACUGCUUGUUGGGAAUUUGAGAAAUAACCUUGGAUGAAAGCAUUCUGAACGCAAGGUGGUGCUGUUGCCUUUAAUAUGAAGUCGAAAUAUUCAGCUUCAACAGACAUGGCGAUAUGAGCUCGGUGUCAUCUAAAGGUUUUGGAUCCUGUCAUUGUCUUCAACCGGAGCGGAUCACCUCAGUUUUUCAGUUGUGGAAGAGGAAGAUGCAAUACGCUCUCCAAGGCUAUAGAUUGGAUAAAUAUAAAUGGGCCAGAGGUGUUUGGCUUUUACCUGCACACCCACUGAAGAAAGUAGCGUUUAGCCUGGACAACCUGCUGGAUUGAGGCCUGGAUUGAAGGUUAAAUUCUUCCUGGCUAAAGUAAUCCAUUCAGCACCUUCUAGUAGUGAAGCUAUUCCCUACACAUUUGGCCGGCUAACCACUGGAAUAUACUGGGCACAGUAAUACCUGACAGAGUCUGAUACAGCAGCAGAAGACGACUCCAGAUCCACACUUUCAUCAUUACGGAGUCUGAUGGACAGAUGUGGAUGAGGAUGCUCAGCUCUCAUGACAUAAUUAGAAGACUCAACAAUCAGCAACAGAAACUCAUGAACAUAUGAACAGGACAGACAGAGUGGUGUGGAUUCCUUCACGUUUAAACUACAGAUGUUUUAUUUGGUCUGAUGACAAUCCAAUUAGAUUCACCUGCAAAUAUGACAAAUAAUCAAGCAAUGUAAUGGCUUAUCUUUAGAAUAAAAAAAAAAAAUGGGCAUGUUUUUGAUUUAUAAAAUGUGUAUGACUAGCAGUGCUCACAUUAAUUGAUGAUAAACUCUAAAACAGAAUGAUUCUUUUGGACAAUUAGCUAUGUGGAAAAUAUACAAUGUUAAAGUACUGUACCAAAAGUUUUAAAUAUCUUUACACUGGUUUAUGUACAGUUUCCAGUUAUCUUAAUAAUCAUUUUUCCUUUAUUUACUCAUUGGUACAUCUUUGUAAUGUUUUUACUAAUUAGGGAAAGUUGUGGCCUAGUGGUUAGAAUUUGAUAGGGUUGUGGGUUUGAGUCUUGGGCCAGCAGUACCAUGACUGAGGUGUCCUUGAGCAAGGCACUGAACCCCCAACUGCUCCAUAACUGGCUGCCCACUGCUCCGGUGCGUGUUCACUGCUGUGUGUGUGUGUGCACUU